rnacentral:rRNA from 1 species
UACGUAGGGGGCAAGCGUUGCCCGGAAUCAUUGGGCGUAAAGAGCGUGUAGGCGGCCCGAUAAGUCCGCUGUGAAAGUCCAGGGCUCAACCCUGGAAUGCCGGUGGAUACUGUCGGGCUCGAGUCCGGAAGAGGCGAGUGGAAUUCCUGGUGUAGCGGUGAAAUGCGCAGAUAUCAGGAGGAACACCAAUGGCGAAGGCAGCUCGCUGGGACGGUACUGACGCUGAGACGCGAAAGUGUGGGGAGCGAACAGG